CCGGCACGGGUGAGUAACACGUAUCCAACCUGCCGUCUACUCUUGGCCAGCCUUCUGAAAGGAAGAUUAAUCCAGGAUGGCAUCAUGAGUUCACAUGUCCGCAUGAUUAAAGGUAUUUUCCGGUAGACGAUGGGGAUGCGUUCCAUUAGAUAGUAGGCGGGGUAACGGCCCACCAAACCUUCGAUGGAUAGGGGUUCUGAGAGGAAGGUCCCCCACAUUGGAACUGAGACACGGUCCAA
rnacentral:rRNA from 1 species